CCUACGGGAGGCAGCAGUGAGGAAUAUUGGUCAAUGGACGCAAGUCUGAACCAGCCAUGCCGCGUGCAGGAAGACGGCUCUAGGAGUUGUAAACUGCUUUUGUACGUGGGAAAAUACCGAUACGUGUAUCGGGUUGAAAGUAUCGUACGAAUAAGGAUCGGCUAACUCCGUGCUAGCAGCCGCGGUAAUACGGAGGAUUCAAGCGUUAUCCGGAUUUAUUGGGUUUAGAGGGUGCGUAGACGGUUCGAUAAGUUAGAGGUGAAAUCCCGGGGCUCAACGCCGGCAGUGCCUCUGUUACGGUCGGGCUAGAGUUGAGUUGCGGGAGGCGGAAUGUAUGGUGUAGCGGUGAAAUGCAUAGAGAUCAUACAGAACACCGAUUGCGAAGGCAGCUUACCAAACUACGACUGACGUGGAGGCACGAAAGCGUGGGGAGCAAACAGGAUUAGAUACCCGGGUAGUC
rnacentral:rRNA from 1 species